rnacentral:rRNA from 1 species
CAGUAGCCACGGUAAUACGUAGGUGGCAAGCGUUGUCCGGAAUUAUUGGGCGUAAAGGGCUCGCAAGCGGUUUCUUAAGUCUGAUGUGAUAGCCCCCGGCUCAACCGGGGAGGGUCAUUGGAAACUGGGAAACUUGAGUGCAGAAGAGGAGAGUGGAACUCCACGUGUAGCGGUGAAAUGCGUAGAGAUGUGGAGGAACACCAGUGGCGAAGGCGACUCUCUGGUCUGUAACUGACGCUGAGGAGCGAAAGCGUGGGGAGCAAACAGUAUUAGAUACCCGGGUAGUCCCUGUCUCUUAUAC